AGGACGAACGCUGGCGGCGCGCCUAACACAUGCAAGUCGAGCGAGAACCAGGGCUUGCCCUGGGGACAGCGGCGAACGGGUGCGUAACACGUGAGCAACCUGCCCCAAAGACCGGGACAACCCGAGGAAACUCGGACUAAUACCGGAUGCCCUCACCGGGUCGCAUGGUCUGGUGAGGAAAUGGAUUCCGCUUUGGGAUGGGCUCGCGGUCUAUCAGCUUGUUGGUGGGGUAACGGCCUACCAAGGCGACGACGGAUAGCUGGUCUGAGAGGACGAUCAGCCACACUGGGACUGAGACACGGCCCAGACUCCUACGGGAGGCAGCAGUGGGGAAUCUUGCGCAAUGGGGGAAACCCUGACGCAGCGACGCCGCGUGCGGGAUGAAGGCCUUCGGGUUGUAAACCGCUUUCAGCAGGGACGAAAUUGACGGUACCUGCAGAAGAAGGCCGGCCAACUACGUGCCAGCAGCCGC
rnacentral:rRNA from 1 species